rnacentral:misc_RNA from 1 species
UGUGGGAGCGGGCUUGCUCGCGAAGGCGAUCUUCCUGUCAAUGAAGUAUUGACUGACACACCGCCUUCGCGAGCAAGCCCGCUCCCACA